CUCACCUAAGUGUGUCAACAGAAAGUGCUGGAAGCAGGCACCACCAAAAGGUCCCACAGCUAGGUCUUUUAACAUGAUCAAAAUCAAAAUGGCCGCUGCAGGAUGCCCAGAAACUGCAUAAAGUUGCAUUUAUUUCACUAUUGUACUAUGUUGCAACCAGGCAUCCCAACUGUGUCAGUUUCAGCAGGACAGUCCCGAUUUUCAGGUCCUACCAUCCCAAUAUCGAAAAUAUCUGCAUAUGUACGGUGUCCAAGAGUUUAUAGCAGUGAUGGCGAACCUUUUUGAGCCCGAGUGCCCAAACCGCAAUACAUGCCAACAUUUUUUCUCCUUAAAGUGCCAACACGGCAAUUAAACCCAAAUACUGAG